rnacentral:rRNA from 1 species
CCUACGGGUGGCAGCAGUGGGGGAUAUUGCACAAUGGGGGAAACCCUGAUGCAGCGACGCCGCGUGGGUGAAGAAGCGCCUCGGCGCGUAAAGCCCUGUCAGCAGGGAAGAAAAUGACGGUACCUGAAGAAGAAGCCCCGGCUAACUCCGUGCCAGCAGCCGCGGUAAUACGUAGGGGGCAAGCGUUAUCCGGAUUUACUGGGUGUAAAGGGGGCGCAGACGGCGAUGCAAGCCAGGAGUGAAAGCCCGUGGCGCAACCCCGGGACUGCUCUUGGAACUGCGUGGCUAGAGUGCAGGAGGGGCAGGCGGAAUUCAUGGUGUAGCGGUGAAAUGCGUAGAUAUCAGGAGGAACACCGGUGGCGAAGGCGGCCUGCUGGACUGCAACUGACGUUGAGGCCCGAAAGCGUGGGGAGCAAACAGGAUUAGAUACCCCUGUAGUC